CCGAGUUUACAACUCCCAAACCCCUGUGAACAUACCUACUGUUGCCUUCGGCGGGAUCAGCCCGGCGCCUCGGUGAAACGGAUCAGGCGCCCGCCUAGGAACCCUAACUCUGUUUCUAUAUGGAAUCUUCUGAGUAGUACCAUAAUAAAUCA
rnacentral:misc_RNA from 1 species